rnacentral:rRNA from 1 species
UACGGGGGGGGCAAGCGUUGUUCGGAAUUACUGGGCGUAAAGGGCUCGUAGGUGGCCAACUAAGUCAGACGUGAAAUCCCUCGGCUUAACCGGGGAACUGCGUCUGAUACUGGAUGGCUUGAGUUUGGGAGAGGGAUGCGGAAUUCCAGGUGUAGCAGUGAAAUGCGUAGAUAUCCGGAGGAACACCGGUGGCGAAGGCGGCUUCCUGGACCGACACUGACGCUGAGGCGCGAAAGCUAGGGGAGCAAACGGG